GACGAACGCUGGCGGCGUGCCUAAUACAUGCAAGUCGAGCGAGUCUGCCUUGAAGAUCGGAGUGCUUGCACUCUGUGAAACAAGAUACAGGCUAGCGGCGGACGGGUGAGUAACACGUGGGUAACCUGCCCAAGAGAUCGGGAUAACACCUGGAAACAGAUGCUAAUACCGGAUAACAACAGAUGAUGCCUAUCAACUGUUUAAAAGAUGGUUCUGCUAUCACUCUUGGAUGGACCUGCGGUGCAUUAGCUAGUUGGUAGGCUAACGGCCUACCAAGGCGAUGAUGCAUAGCCGAGUUGAGAGCCUGAUCGGCCACAUUGGCACUGAGACACGGACCAAACUCCUACGGGAGGCAGCAGUAGGGAAUCUUCCACAAUGCACGCAAGUCUGAUGGAGCAACGCCGCGUGAGUGAAGAAGGGUUUCGGCUCGUAAAGCUCUGUUGUUGGUGAAGAAGGACAGGGCUAGUAACUGACCUUUGUUUGACGGUAAUCAAUUAGAAAGUCACGGCUAACUACGUG
rnacentral:rRNA from 1 species